UGGGGAAUAUUGCACAAUGGGCGCAAGCCUGAUGCAGCCAUGCCGCGUGUGUGAAGAAGGCCUUCGGGUUGUAAAGCACUUUCAGCGGGGAGGAAGGCGUUAAGGUUAAUAACCUUGGCGAUUGACGUUACCCGCAGAAGAAGCACCGGCUAACUCCGUGCCAGCAGCCGCGGUAAUACGGAGGGUGCAAGCGUUAAUCGGAAUUACUGGGCGUAAAGCGCACGCAGGCGGUCUGUCAAGUCGGAUGUGAAAUCCCCGGGCUCAACCUGGGAACUGCAUUCGAAACUGGCAGGACAGAGGCAUGUAGAGGGGGGGAGAAGUCUACGGGUCGAGCUGACAGACGUCCAGACCUCGAGGCACAUCGUUGGCUAAGGCGGUGCCUAGGACAAAGACUGACGCUCAGGUGCGAAAGCGUGGGGAGCAAACAGG
rnacentral:rRNA from 1 species